GAUGAACGCUAGCUACAGGCUUAACACAUGCAAGUCGAGGGGCAGCAUGGUCUUAGCUUGCUAAGGCCGAUGGCGACCGGCGCACGGGUGAGUAACACGUAUCCAACCUGCCGUCUACUCUUGGACAGCCUUCUGAAAGGAAGAUUAAUACAAGAUGGCAUCAUGAGUUCACAUGUUCACAUGAUUAAAGGUAUUCCGGUAGACGAUGGGGAUGCGUUCCAUUAGAUAGUAGGCGGGGUAACGGCCCACCUAGUCUUCGAUGGAUAGGGGUUCUGAGAGGAAGGUCCCCCACAUUGGAACUGAGACACGGUCCAAACUCCUACGGGAGGCAGCAGUGAGGAAUAUUGGUCAAUGGGCGAGAGCCUGAACCAGCCAAGUAGCGUGAAGGAGGACUGCCCUAUGGGUUGUAAACUUCUUUUAUAAAGGAAUAAAGUCGGGUAUGUAUACCCGUUUGCAUGUACUUUAUGAAUAAGGAUCGGCUAACUCCGUG
rnacentral:rRNA from 1 species